AUUGAACGCUGGCGGUAGGCCUAACACAUGCAAGUCGAACGCGAAAGUCCUUCGGAUGAGUAGAGUGGCGGACGGGUGGAGUAACGCGUAGGAAUCUAUCCUGUAGUGGGGGAUAACGUUUCGAAAGGAACGCUAAUACCGCAUACGCCCCAAGGGGGAAAGCGGGGAGUCUUCGGACCUCGUGCUAUAGGAGGAGCCUGCGUCGGAUUAGCUAGUUGGUGAGGUAAAGGCUCACCAAGGCGACGAUCCGUAGCUGGUCUGAGAGGAUGAUCAGCCACACCGGAACUGAGACACGGUCCGGACUCCUACGGGAGGCAGCAGUGGGGAAUAUUGCGCAAUGGGCGAAAGCCUGACGCAGCCAUACCGCGUGUGUGAAGAAGGCCUCGGUUGUAAG
rnacentral:rRNA from 1 species